AAUCUCCCCUGGUAGAACUCCUGUCUCUGAAGAUGUUAGUUCAGUAGGCUUAUGAUGGGCUCAGAGUUUAAUCCCUGGGGGACUUUGAUGAAGCAUUUCAUGGACAAAUGUUUGAGGGCCAGCAGCCAAGUAUAAAGGGUUACAGGUUACACAGGGCCAGUGUUGGUUCAUUUUGAGACGGUACUACAAAAGAUAAUGAACACCAGAGGUAUGGAUCAUUGGGGACCAUCUUGGGGGCUGGCUGCCCCUUGAAUGU
rnacentral:lncRNA from 1 species